UCCCCGUGAAGGCCAAGGGCGCGUGUGGCCGCCCCUGGCCCAGGCACCCCCGACCUGCUGGGAGCCGCGUGCCAGGCUGCGGCCUAGUGCCCACGCUCCAGGCAGGAGCACGCGGAGCGUCCUGGAUGCAUCCCGCAGCCGAGGGCCCGUCUCUCUCCCUGACUCGAGGCCUCUCUGCUGCCUCCCUCGGGUGGAGCCUGCAAGGGGAAGCCCACGUUUGUGUCCUGUAGAGGAGAAUCCAUUUUUAAACCUUGUUCGUGACUGUUUUAUAUAUCCCUGCUUUUGGGUGGCGACUGGCAGGGCAAUGAGCAUUCCCAUCCCCAGUGGAUCUAGAUGCCCUUUUUGAAAGCUGCCUCGUAGACAAAUGUCUUCUGCUGUGCAAAACCAUUCGACACUAAACGACUGCAGCAGAAUGAAAGAAUUCGAAGUCAGAAUCUAGUCUCUGUCCUUCCUUGCAACUUCCAGCUGGGAAACAAGGUCUCCUCUGGCUAAUUAACUGCACAGAGUUUGCAUGAAUAGAAGUGAUGGACUGGAACCUCAGGCUCCGACUCCUCUCAUUUCUGCAUUGAGCUUUGAAACCAUCGUCUUUGGCAUCACUUCAGCAUGCUGGACAGAAGCAGCAUCAAAAACGCCCCCCCCGUCACAAGGCUGCUGUGUACUCCAGCAAAGCUAUGCACAGACCUUCAUUGGAAAAAACCCAAGUGGCCAAACAUGUCAUUCUGCGGUUUUCCACGUGACCACGGUUUGCUUUGUUUUUCUCCUUUGCUGGCGUUAUGGCACCUAGGCACUUUGGAGAUCUGUGAGAUGACAACAAUCGUAUUGCGCAUACGCAAAAGGGCUGGAAACGAACCAGCGAUAACGUGUUCCUGCCGGGACUCGAAGCGAGCGAACACCCGGAGACCCCAAAGCAGCACUUCUGUUGUUCGGCUAAAGGAGGCUGCCCCGAAACUAGACCCACCGUUUCAUCCGCAAUCUACUGAAACAGCGCAGUCGCUCUGGACUCCUCAGCUGCGUUUUUGAUUUGUUACAGGCUGGAACCGGCCUAGAAACCCGAACACGUCAGCACUUUGGAUCGGGCAUUCGUGGCUCUGCUUGUUACCGCUUGAACCUUGCUUUAACUUCGAUGGCAAAGAAAGGGAAAAGCGGUCGGGCUGGUCCUCUGCUCAUGUGGUCAGACUAGCUCAACCGGUAACUGAAGAGACAUGCCUUUCCUCUGAAAGGGCAAGAUGGGUCGUCCCCCACCCUCGCUUCCCUUCCCUACAACGUUUCCCUUCGCUUACUGAACAAACACCAGAUCGGUCGGGCAGGGGCAAAACUUGCGCAGCGCGAGGCUCGAGACCAGACGGGCCGGGGCUUUCCAGCCUGGAGAAGGUGACUGGGGGGACCAACAAAACAGCCAUGGCGUGGGGAGAGCGGACUGCGGUUUCGUAUUUGCCACCUCUCGCAGGGCCGGCCGCACACGGGAAGCUGGUUGAAAGCCGGCAAAAGGAGGCUCUCUUCCGCACAGCGUCUGGUUCGCGGUGGAGCUCGUUGCCAGAUGUUAGUGGGGACGUAACCAGACCGAGACAGGAAUAGCCCCGGGGUGUUCGGCCCCAGGUCUGGCCACCGCGCCUCUGCUGCCAGAUGUCCAGACCUGUGGGGCCCGAUCCUGGUGCACGGGGCUGGGCUGAGCAGGGAUGGGAGUGACGCUCCGGAGCCUGGUUCUGCUCUGUGGGCCAGGUGGGGCUCCAGGGCCCGAUCCUGGUAUGCUGGGCUAGGCAGGGCCCGAUCCUGGUGCACAGGGCCCAAUUCUGGUAUGAUGGGUAGGGCCUUUGGGCCGGAUCCUGGUGCACAGGGCCCAAUUCUGGUAUGCUGGGCAGGGCCUUUGGGCCGGAUCCUGGUACACAGGGCCUGAUCCUGUUAUGCUGGGCUGGGCAGGGCCCGAUCCUGGUGCAGAGGGCCCAAUUCUGGUAUGAUGGGUAGGGCCUUUGGGCCCGAUCCUGGUAUGCUGGGCUGGGCAGGGCCCGAUCCUGGUGCACAGAGCCCAAUACUGGUAUGCUAGGCAGGACCCUAGGGCCCGAUCCUGGUAUGUUGGGCUGGGCAGGGCCCCAGGGCCCGAUCCUGGCACGUGGGAGGAGGUGGGCGGGGCCCCAGGGCGGC